rnacentral:rRNA from 1 species
GACGAACGCUGGCGGCGUGCUUAACACAUGCAAGUCGAACGAAGUGGCGCACGGGUGAGUAACGCGUAAUCAACCUGCCCUUCAGUGGGGGACAACAGUUGGAAACGACUGCUAAUACCGCAUACUGAAGGAGGGGUUUGCGUCUGAUUAGCUAGUUGGAGGGGUAACGGCCCACCAAGGCGAAGAUCAGUAGCCGGUCUGGGAGGAUGAACGGCCACAUUGGGAACGAAGAAAGGCCCAGACGCCUAAGGGAGGCAGCAAGUGGGAAUCUUCCGGAAUGGAGGGAAGGCUGACGGAGCAACGCCGGGGGAGUGAUGACGGCCUUCGGGUUGUAAAGCUCUGUUAAUCGGGACGCGGUACCGGAAUAGAAAGCCACGGCUAACUACGUGCCAGCAGCCGCGGUAAUAC